UCAAGCAAAUUUUACAUGAAGAUUUUUACAAUUUUUCUCCUAUAAGAAACAGAUACCACGAAAAAACAGAUAUACCACGAUUCAUCGGUCAGAAUGAAAAAUUAAAUUAUUAAACAUUUAAAAAUUUCAAGGAAAAUUUCAAAAUUAAUUUUUGAAUGCGUUUUCUUAUAUAAUAAAAAAAAAAAAAGAAGAGAAGAAAACGACUUACAAUAGUUUUAAAGAGGAAAUCUGCUAUUCCUGUGAUCGAAAGAUUCUUCUGAUUCCCCGAGGACUGGUGAGAAAUCCGACUAAUUCUCGAAUCCGCGACAACACGGAAGAAAACAGAAUGGGGUGAGAAAGAGCUGACCCAUUUGGCGGUAGAAUAGCCGAAGGGGGUUGGAAAAGAGGCAGCGAGUAGAAAAAAAGGCAAACCCGUGUGUACGGAACACGCGGGUAUCUUUUGUCGCCGAUCCUGGCCACCGGCGUCCCGGCAUAAUUAAAAUUCUACAGACUCGCUCCGGAAGUUUGGACCAUCUCCAAAAUCCUCGAACCAAGUUACUCUUGGAUCGAUCCAAAGGCGAAUCUUCUGCCUGUGACAUAGCUGCUGUUGAACGAAGAGAGCUGCGAUCGACCAUGGGAAAGUUAAGUGUACCAAAGAAAAUCAAGGAGAAAUUGUUUGGCUAAGUUUACACGUAGAAUGAGAAUGAUCGAUCGAACGACGUGAUAUUGACGGCCUUGGGUUUUUUGAAUGAUGGUUCAUGAUAUUUUGUGAUGGAAAAUUUGAUAGUUACAACAAUGGUACUUGGUAGUUUGCAAUAUUUUUUAUUUUCUUCCAGUUUUAGACGGUUUGUUUGAGUUAAUUUAAUUAGAGGUUAAGUUAAGAUUAAUUAUAGAAAGAGUAAUAGAAUUAUAGAUGCAAUUGCAAUUGUUUGGAUUUAAUGUUUUUAUUGAGAUAAUUCAAUCACGAUGGGCAAACUUUUUCAAUUACACGUCUCUGUUGGAUCGCAUUAAGACAAUGAUCAUAUUGCUGUAUGAGAAAUUGGAUAUUCCGUUGAAAAUUGAGAAAUACUUUCGAAUAUAUCGUGACACGAUAUUAAGAGAAAGGUAGAAUUUAUCGAACGGAUAGGAGACCAAAUGUUGAGCCAGUAAUUGGUUAAAUAUUUUAUUUGAGGAAUCUUGGGAGAGAGGAUUCCCAGAAAUUGGCCGCUUCGAGCAAAUAUUGAAAUAGGCUUCGUAAAUGGUUCUGCUCGUUUAAAAGGAAAUGUGGUGAUGCAACACGUACAACUUUCCAUCUGAUCCCAGGUGUCGCAGAGAAAAAAAUCAGAAGAAAGAAAAAUUAUAAAGAUAGAAGAAUUAUAAAUAUAGAAUUUAAGAAUCUUUCGAAAGGAAAAUAACAAAUUAAUUUUAAAGAAAUUAAAGAGUUAAACUUCUCCAUUUGUCUAGUCGUGUUCAUAAAAAUUUCAAUUUACAUUAGCAUCAGUAUUCUAUAGCUAAUAUUUUUAUAUUUCUAACAUUUUCUUCUUUUUUUUUUUUCUGUUCAAGAUACUCGUGCUGGCUUGUCCCUGGAAAAACGCGACGAAAGGGAUUGUCGUAGCUGCUGAUCACACAGUUUCUCGGUUACAUUGGCGUAACCGGUUCUCCAAGACUCCUCGUCGAGUCUCUUUGUAUCGGGCGAGGCCUGGAUUCGUGCCGUUCAAGCGAUUUUUAUUAAACGACGCGGUUGAGAGAGUACAUUGUUUGUCGCGAAUUGCACCUCUUGUGGUGAGAGCUAACCCCUGCCAGCAAGUACGAUCCCCCUUCUUCCCUUGUAAUUGCUGACUGGUAAAUUGCUUCGAAGAAAAAUUACACAUAAUCGUGAUGGAAUACUAUUUGAUCAUUCAUUUAAAUUUAAAAUAUUUCUAGAAUUUUCUCUAUAUUCGAAUCAAAAAUUCCAGAAUCGUUGAGAAUACUCUUCAAUUUAACGAUAGAAAUAUUCUAAAACUCACUUUUAAAAGUCUCAAACGCAAAAUUUUCUUCAAAUUAUAUUUAUAGCACAGAUAGAAGCUUUUUUAGAACCCCGAUCACUUUUCACUUUUAUCAAACGGAGAGCCAGACAUCUUUGCCACCCACAAUCUGUUCCUUCCCACUCAGCCCUCAUAAUUCCCCGCCAAAUACAUUCUAAAAUCGCUCGUUCAGCAUCCAUAUCCCCUUUUCGCAAUCUCUUUCUCAGUAUUCCGCCCGUGGAGAGCGCGAUUGCCCAAUUUCCCUCAAUUUUCCCAAAGCAAGUUCGAAAUCAGCCCAGCCAGGGAAGCGCGCACGAGCCCGCCAAGCUUUUAUAUUUGCUUAACAUUAGAUUACGCUCCUCGAGGGUAUGUAGGUCGUCUCGUUUGUUCCCAGUUUCAGGAAUUUACGAUUAAGUCCCGCAGAAUUGAAUUUUCGAGGGUUGGAAUAACUGCGUGCCGCUAUUCUGCGAGAAUUUCGAGUUGAACGCGAUCCCUGUUCCGUGAUUGGUCGGUGAUUUAUUCAGUUGUUUCCGUUUGUGUAGUUGGUAACAGUAUUUUUGAUGUUCUUAUAUUUGUUGUAUAAUAUUUUGUGCAAUAAAUUACACAUCUGGGUCUAUGAAUUUUGAUAAGAUAUUUUUUUCAUACGAUAUAUAUUUUUUCAUAUGUGUGUUUUGUGGCUUCGUGAUUUUUUAAUACGUUUUUUUUUUAAACAUUAAUUUUACUCUUUAUACGUUCAUAUAAAUGUUUUUAUGCAAAUGUUUUAAAUUACUACUUGUUUUAUAUAUGGUGUUUUCUUUAAAGAGACCCAGAUGUAUAAUUAGUUUUAUAUAAAAUGAUUCUUGGCAAUUUUUUUCUGUUCCCAGAAAACAAAAAGAAUAAUUGCCUUUCCUUGAUAAAUUUAAAUUUGCUCGAACAAAAUAUCGUAAUUAUAUUUUGAAAAAAUUCUACCUAAUCAAUAACGAAAUUAUUGACGAGAUUGAUCAAGAAUCAUUUUUGUUUUCGAACGUUUCAAUUAAUAAUAUUAAUAUUAUACAUUUUCAGAUCUCUUUCAACGUUAAUUACGAUAAUCAAAUGAUCAAACAACUACGUGAUACGUCAAAUACUACAUUCUUCAAAUUCAAUAUAAGUGUGGAAUCGAACCGAAAGUUCUCUUAUUAUAAUAUCGAAAAACCCAUGAAUGGAAAGUAAGACUUAAUCGUGCAGCUUUUCGCCUCCGAACCGAGUUCUCGAGCAGCUGACGCGAUAAUUUAUCGGGCCGUUUAACUUUCGAGUUUCGUUCGCGUGAAACACGAAAGAGUGGGAGAGAGAGUAAAAAAACUCGAUACAGGAAACCAGUUUCGAACAGACCAUGAUUUCAAUAGGUUCCACGACUCUCUAAACACCGAUUCCUUCUCGAUUUACUUACUCCAACCCAGAUCGAAUUUUACCUCGCAUUCUCACUCUCGAGUCUGCAACACCUCUGAAAUUCAUUCUGCGUGAUAGAAAGGAUAGAAAGAAAGAAGAAAAAAAUAAGGAAAUAAAGAGCGGAGAGAUAGGAUGGAAGAGAAGAAACGAAAGAGAGAAAGAAAGAGAGAGACUUCUUACACACAGGCGGAGAAAACGUGGCGCGUAAAUAGAGCGAAUAAAGGAGGUCGAGUUGAAAUGGGGUUGAAAAUUUGUAAAGAAGGGGAAAAGGUUUUUUUUUUAACGAGUUAAUGAAGGGAAGCCAGGGCAAGAAGGUUGAAAGUUAAUUAAGAACAACUUGGAAGGAAUGAUUAUUUUUCUUUUCUUUUCUUCCUUUUUUUUUUCUUUGAUGAUCGUGCUUCGUUCGUUGUACAAUGAAAAUUUGUUUCAUUUCAUUAAGAUUUUGUGUUUUUGUAAAUGUAAAGGUUUUUGUGAAUGUGAAUUAUUUGAAGAUACAUGUGGACCAUUUUAAGUAUGAUCAUUUUUUUGAUUAGAUUCAUAAUUUUAAUAAUAAAAAUAUGUACCAGAAGUACAAUUGGAUGAAUUAAAAGAGAUUUAUUUUUCUAUACAAUGAUAUGAAAUGUUUCAAUUAAAAUAUUCAAAAUAUGGAUACAGGAAUAUAGAAGGAUUGAAUUUGUUGCGAUUGAGCGUAGUUUCAAUGAAAGGGAGGCUUAUAACGAACGAUCGAUUCCGAAUUCAUUAAAUUAUUUCUUCGUUACGUAUUUAUUAACCAUCGUGCCCAUUUUCAGCGAUGAAUUACGAUAGUUGGUAUACAUGUUGCAUCGAUUAUAGGGAAAUUUUGAAUUGGAUGGAGAGCAACGUCGAUAUUGACGACACUGAUUGCCGCGUUUUAUUUUCUAUAAACAUCCAUCCAACCUACAAUUCUUUCAUAUAUUUUUUUUAAUUUUUCAAGAACAAAUAAAUGAUAUUGAUAAAAUAUUCGAUGUGAAAAAAAGAAAUAAAGAAGAGAUAUAAAAAUAAAAAACAAUGAUAUAUAUCGUUAAUCUCUUCAAAGAUUUUUAAGUAACGGUAUAAAUAAUAGUGUGAUCGAUGUGCAAAAGAUUCGAAGAUGGAAAGAAGAUAAAAGUGAUUCCGUAAACCAUAAAAACGUUUUAAAAAAAAUGAAAAAUCGUGAGACCAUUCCGAGGAUCUUCAAUUUUCCGAAGGAUAUCGAGCGAAAGGACGAUUUAACCAAUUCUAGAAAUAUUAUUUGUUGAGACUAUGGGAAUCAUUAGCGAGCAAUUUAUCGUGUCGUCGUAGGGAAAUCGAGCGUCCAAACACGGGGAAUCGAUAUUCCAUUACGGAGGAUCGGUGGUUCGCCAGAGAGAGGCACGAUAAGAGGGCAACUAUGGCGAACGGGGAUACCGCUUUCAAGGUGGAAGAUAGAAACGUCUGGGAAAUGAAACUUGGUUACUGAAAAGCAUGGAAUUUGAAAUCUAUCAGGAUGGGAUCACAAAAUGGUUUACAAAUCCAUAAAAAUAUUAAUUAAUUAGUCGAACACAAUAUGGUUUCACAGUAUCAUGAUAAAUUGCUUUUGAGAUCCAAUCAAUUAAAUUCUCAAUAUCGAAAAUGCUUUUGACGAUAUAUUUUAAAACUUAAUCACGAAAUGGCACCACUCGAAGAUUGUUUAACGAGUACUAAGAAUACUCGUUUCGUAAUUGUUUUUAUCGUUCAAAUUUACCUUUCAUCAUUUCUCUUAAAUUAUCGAGAAACAAUACGUGUAAUAAGACUUUUCGAUUAUUAAAGACAAUCACCCUCGUCACGAACGUGAAUUAACAAUUGUUAUCUAACGAGGAUAGUCGUAAGCGGAUACCUUUCUUUGUCAUUAAUUAUCCACUCGUUAAUGAUCAAUUACGAGCGUAUCGUAUUGACAAUAAAGCAAAAUCGAAAAACGAUGAAAAAGAAAAAAAGAAAGAAAGCGGAAUCAUUUCUGGAAAUCGAGACAGUCCCUACUUAUCCCACGAUAAAUCCAUCGAUCGAAUCAGUGGAUAUGAAUACCCGGCCCUUAUUACUCGUCAUUAAUCGGCUGGUAAUUAGCGAUUGCUAAUUGAGGCUUUCUCGACAAUAAAAGCAAAUAAAAGCUAACUCAAAAAUGGAGUUAAAAAAGAGAUGAUGAAAAUGAAUUUUAUGGAAAUUAGUCUUUUUAUCAAUGAUUGAUGGUGAGAUUGGUAAUGAAAAUUUACAUUAGAACAUUGAAUGUGUAUUUUUUUUUUAAUUGAAAGUUAUAUUUGAACAUAAUUAGAAAAAUUAUAAGAAUUAUGUCAGAUAGAUGGAAUAGAUGUGCAUGAUAAUUUAACCAAGCAUUUAGAUCAAAACUAAUUUUUAACAAAAGAAAUAAUUUAACAGAACAGCAAUGCAUUAUAUAAAAAAAAAUUGUGGUCCAGAUUCUACUUUAAUACCUUACUCUCGUAAAAUCUUGAAAAGUGCAAGGAUAAUUUCAUGAUUAAUUCAAAAUCUACCUGAAAUUAAUCUUUUUCAAAAGUAAUAAUUUGACAGAAUAACGUUGCAUUAUUGCAUAAACCAAGAUUGUGAUUCAGAUUCUACAGUAUCCUUCGUAGUAGAAUUUAAAGCGAAUUCAUGGAUUUUCGAGCUGGUAGCCUACAAUGAAUUUACCUUACCGAACGAAUAUUUAGAAGGCGGGUCACAGAGAAGAACAACACGGAAUAGAGACACGAUGCUCGUUGGAAAUACUGAAUAGUCUUUCCACGGUCGUCGAAUAAGUCAACGUUUAACUCUUGUUAUUUGGAAAGACAUUUAUACUUGGCAGUAUCUCUUCCAAUUUCAUUUUGGAUACUCUUGUUUUACUUCACAAAAUUAGUUUGACAAGUAUCUUAUUAAAAUAAAUUCCUUAAAA